CCUACGGGCGGCAGCAGUGGGGAAUAUUGGACAAUGGGGGGAACCCUGAUCCAGCGACGCCGCGUGAGUGAAGAAGUAUUUCGGUAUGUAAAGCUCUAUCAGCAGGGAAGAAAAUGACGGUACCUGACUAAGAAGCCCCGGCUAACUACGUGCCAGCAGCCGCGGUAAUACGUAGGGGGCAAGCGUUAUCCGGAUUUACUGGGUGUAAAGGGAGCGUAGACGGUACAGCAAGUCUGAUGUGAAAGCUCCGUGCCCAACCCCGGGACUGCAUUGGAAACUGGUGAACUGGAGUACAUGAGAGGUAAGCGGAAUUCCUAGUGUAGCGGUGAAAUGCGUAGAUAUCAGGAGGAACACCAGUGGCGAAGGCGGCUUACUGGCACGUAACUGACGUUGAGGAUCGAAAGCGUGGGGAGCAAACAGGAUUAGAUACCCUUGUAGUC
rnacentral:rRNA from 1 species